AACAGCUCAAAUUUGAAAUCUGGCCUCGGCCCGAGUUGUAAUUUGCAGAGGAUGCUUUUGGUGCGGUGCCUUCCGAGUUCCCUGGAACGGGACGCCACAGAGGGUGAGAGCCCCGUAUGGUUGGACACCAAUCCUGUGUAAAGCUCCUUCGACGAGUCGAGUAGUUUGGGAAUGCUGCUCUAAAUGGGAGGUAAAUCUCUUCUAAAGCUAAAUACCGGCCAGAGACCGAUAGCGCACAAGUAGAGUGAUCGAAAGAUGAAAAGCACCUUGAAAAGGGGGUUAAACAGUACGUGAAAUUGUUGAAAGGGAAGCACUUGUGACCAGACUUGGGCCGGGCGGCUCAUCAGGGGUUCUCCCCUGUGCAUUCCGCCCGGUACAGGCCAGCAUCGGUUCUUACCGGGGGAUAAGAACGGCAGGAACGUGGCUCCCCCUCGGGGGAGUGUUAUAGCCUGCCGUACGAUACCCUGGCGGGGACCGAGGUUCGCGCUUCCGCAAGGAUGCUGGCGUAAUGGUUACUAGUGACCCGUCUUGAAACACGGACCAAGGAGUCGUCCAUUAGAGCGAGCGUUUGGGUGUCAAACCCCCACGCGUAAUGAAAGUGAAAUUAGGUGAGAGCUUCGGCGCAUCAUCGACCGAUCCUGAUGUUCUCGGAUGGAUUUGAGUAAGAGUUUUAACGGACGGACCCGAAAGACAGUGAACUAUGCUUGUAUAGGGUGAAGCCAGAGGAAACUCUGGUGGAGGCUCGCAGCGGUUCUGACGUGCAAAUCGAUCGUC
rnacentral:rRNA from 1 species